rnacentral:rRNA from 1 species
AUUGAACGCUGGCGGCAGGCCUAACACAUGCAAGUCGAACGAGUGGCGGACGGGCGAGCAAUGUCUGGGAAACUGCCUGAGGGAGGGGGAUAACUACUGGAAACGGUAGCUAAUACCGCAUACCAUCGGAUGUGCCCAGACGGGAUUAGCUAGUGGGUGGGGUAACGGCUCACCUAGGCGACGCUCCCUAGCUGGUCUGCGAGGAUGACCAGCCACCCUGGAACUGAGACACGGUCCAGACUCCUACGGGAGGCAGCAGUGGGGAAUAUUGCACAAUGGUCUCAAGCCUGAUGCAGCCAUGCCGCGUGUAUGAAGAAGGCCUUCGGGUUUUAAAGUACUUUCUGCGGGGAAGCGUUACCCGCAGAAGAAGCACCGGCUAACUCCGUGCCAGCAGCCGCGGUAAUUC